rnacentral:rRNA from 1 species
AUUCCAGCUCCAAUAGCGUAUAUUGAAGUUGUUGCAGUUAAAAAGCUCGUAGUUGGAUUUCUGGGGGGCGCGUUGGUCCGCCCGGCAACGGGUGCGCACUUUUGACGUCCGUCUCCCAUCCUCGCGAAGAGCGGCCCCGGCAUUAACUUGUCGCGGGCCGGGACUCGCGUCGUUUACUGUGAACAAAUUAGAGUGUUUAAAGCAGGCGUUUGCUGUGAAUACAUUAGCAUGGAAUAAUAAGAUAGGACUUUGGUGCUAUUUUGUUGGUUUGCACACCAAGGUAAUGAUUAACAGGGACAGUUGGGGGUAUUCGUAUUUAAUUGUCAGAGGUGAAAUUCUUGGAUUUAUGAAAGACGAACUACUGCGAAAGCAUUUACCAAGGAUGUUUUCAUCG